UGGCCCUCGUCUGGCCCUGACCCAUCUGCAGGUGGAGCAGGGGACAGAUAGGCCUACAACUUGGGGUCCAGACUGUGUGCUUUCUGUUGGGCCUACGUGAGUCCUGUCCCCUCUCAGCCUCAGUUUACACAUCUUCCCUUCUGGGGCUCAAGCUCAGCUGUAGCCGUUGGAGCCUGUCAUUUCCCUUCCCCCGCCCACCCAGCUGGGAGGCCGAGAAGUUUCAUCACAGCAAGUUGUUGUCCUUAUAAGGGAAGGGCCUCCCAGGCCUCUCGCUGGCCCAUGGCUGGCUGGGGGUGAGCCAGGCCAGCCUCGAGGUAUGCUCCAGGUGCCAGCAAAGGUGGGGAUGCUCCAAGUCAGCUGGAACUCCCCUGGGCUGAGUGUCCAUCUAAAGUCACAGGCUCUCUGGAGAAAAAUAGGAAGCAGUCAAUUGUGACCCCAGGCCAGAACCCUAGGGGGUCAAAUCCCAUGUCCUGAUUCUAACUUGUAGUCUCCUAGGCUCCUUGUUUAAGCCUCAUUCCCGGCUGGGGUUUGAAUCUAGAUGUGUCUGCCUCCAAAUCAAAAGUCGUGUUUUUUCUACUUACACCCUGCUACUUCCUCCAAAAUUUUUGUUUCUUUAACAACCUUAUGACAACAGGGAGGAAUUUCCACUGUCGUCUUUCCAUCCUCCACAUUCCCCCCCAGAGCCUCCUUAUAACGUCACAGAAACCUCCACUUGAGUGAGUUUAUGUGGCCUUUUCUGACAGCCGGGUCUCAUCUCUCAUGUCAGUGAGAUGAGAGUAGGGCUCAGGGAGGCAGGAGGACAGGACUUGGAGGGGGGCACAAGACAUGCUGGCUCCAGAAAGGCACAGGGAGCUUCCAGGGCCUAGGCUCAGGUUGGGGCAGAAGGAGAGGCAAUCUGGAUGCGCCCCCGCCCAGGUGCCCCCUUCCCCCCACCCCACCCUCAGUCCUGUCUGGAGGCAACCAUCUCGUGGUUUGCAAAACCCUGCAUUCUGACUACUCACAGGCCUUCGGGCCACUGAGAUAUGGCAGCCCCUAUUCAAGAGGAAGGCUCUGUUUCUCUGCACAGGCCUCCAGCCCCCAGGACCAGAGGGAAAGAAAGUUCUCACCACAUCCUUGCCAUGUGGCUGGCCCCUGACACCUUCCCAGCUGCUGCUCCCUUCAAGGAGGCCUUCCAGAGGGGACCUAGUUCCUGGGUGAGGCUGGGGGGACACCCCCAUCCACACAGGGACUCCUCUCUCUUACCUUGUUUCCUCCUCACAGAUAAGGGACCUGUGAAGUGAUUCACCUGGGGUCCCCCAGCUUCUGCAGGCCACUCACUCGAUAUGGCUGUCACACAUCAGGCCAUAUUGGAAUUCAGGGGAAUUCAGGAGGGACACAAGGGACAUGAGGGUCAUAGCCACAGUUGAUAGGCCGGGGUCAGGUGCUUCCUGUUAUGUUGGCCACCAGCCCGUCCAGCAGCCCUCACAGAGGAGGAAGGGAGCAUCAGGGAGUGGGGGCAU
rnacentral:lncRNA from 1 species